GCCGGAGCCUGGAACAUGUGAGGAGCUAUUUUGGUCAGAAUCCUGGGACAUGGGGAACAGAAGCUGACACAGGAUAUGUUAAGCAAACAAACAAAUGUAUUAGAAGAAUCUAGAAUAGCUCAUAGUAAAGAAGAAAAAGUUGAAGAAUCUAAGUUCUUAAAAGAAAAAAACAAUCGAAGAUAGGCUAGGAAUUUAGCUUGGAGGAAUCGUGCAGAUUCCUCUGUUCCGAGGCAACUAGGGUGAAAUUAUUGGAUCCAUUUUGCUUCUGUGUCACUGCUCUGGACACUGGGAUUCCAGGUCAAGACUAUCUGACAGGUCAAGCUUCAGCCAGCAGCUUCAUUAGCAGGAAGAGAUUCGGUGCUGUACUGGGGAGCUAGCUACACAGAAGUAGUCCUAAGCGUGGUCAACUCAACAUCUCCAGCUCAGCCUCUUCCAGUUCGCUAUCUUCCAAAUUCUGAAUCCGCUUGCUGGACAUCUCCUCACCAGGCUAGUAUAUGCGCUCGCGCUCUCUCUUUCUCCUCAGAAGCAAGCAGGGAUGUGUGUGUGUGUGUGUGUACAGCUUAAAAUGUUGGAGAAGGGAAGACAAGUAAAGGGGGUGACGUUGGCUACAAGCAUGGUGGAUACCAUGGGUCCCUGAGGAAAUAAACUGUUUGCGGUUUUCCCCCAGAGUUGAAGUUUUGACUUAAUUUGAGCGAACCUGACAUCGGUUUCUACAGCAGUACAUUGGAUUUGGCUUGUGCUGUUGUGACACAAAGGGAAAGGCACACACACAAUGUCAGCAAUGUUCUCUCUCCUUCCGUUUUCUAGAACUGACUUCGAUGGGUGUUUUUAAUUCAUCAUAGGGCUUAUAACAAAUGUAGCACAUUCUUUUAUUGAUUGAUUCUUUUAUUGAUUCUUUUAUUGAACCAAAACACCGAGCGGGUGCUGAAGGAAUAGAAAAAGGCCGCUGGAUCAGCCUUUUGAAAAGAGGCAGCAGCUCAACUCUGGGAUUCAAGAUUGGCUGUGUCCCCUGGUUUCCAUAUAGGUGACCCCUUAGAUGAUAAAUCAUCAGGCCAUAAUGCAAGAUUCUGCCCAAUUGUAACCCAGAUGGAACAAAACAACCCUACUGGGAAAGAGACCGCUACAAUUAAAUAUUAUGUUUGCCCGGAAUGAUGGCUUAAAGCCUGUGACACCAACACCGAGGAGUCUGAGGCAGGGGGAUCAAAUAGUCAGCCUGGACUAGGCAGUGGCUCCCAGGCUAGCCUAGGAUAUACAGUGGAGACCUAUUUAAAGAAAACAAACUAGAUUCAGUGAGGUAAUACAACAAGUCAAAGAGGCACUUGCCACCAGGUAAUGACCCGAUUUCCACCCCUGGGACACGCAGGCUAGCAGGAGAGAACCGCCUCCUGCUCCAAGUUGAUCUUUGGCCUCCAC
rnacentral:lncRNA from 1 species